GACGAACGCUGGCGGCGUGCCUAAUACAUGCAAGUAGAACGCUGAAGGAGGAGCUUGCUUCUCUGGAUGGGUUGCGAACGGGUGAGUAACGCGUAGGUAACCUGCCUGGUAGCGGGGGAUAACUAUUGGAAACGAUAGCUAAUACCGCAUAAGAGUAGAUGUCGCAUGACAUUUGCUUGAAAGGUGCAAUUGCAUCACUACUAGAUGGACCUGCGUUGUAUUAGCUAGUUGGUGAGGUAACGGCUCACCAAGGCAACGAUACAUAGCCGACCUGAGAGGGUGAUCGGCCACACUGGGACUGAGACACGGCCCAGACUCCUACGGGAGGCAGCAGUAGGGAAUCUUCGGCAAUGGACGGAAGUCUGACCGAGCAACGCCGCGUGAGUGAAGAAGGUUUUCGGAUCGUAAAGCUCUGUUGUAAGAGAAGAACGAGUGUGAGAGUGGAAAGUUCACACUGUGACGGUAUCUUACCAGAAAGGGACGGCUAACUACGUGCCAGCAGCCGCGGUAAUACGUAGGUCCCGAGCGUUGUCCGGAUUUAUUGGGCGUAAAGCGAGCGCAGGCGGUUAGAUAAGUCUGAAGUUAAAGGCUGUGGCUUAACCAUAGUACGCUUUGGAAACUGUUUAACUUGAGUGCAAGAGGGGAGAGUGGAAUUCCAUGUGUAGCGGUGAAAUGCGUAGAUAUAUGGAGGAACACCGGUGGCGAAAGCGGCUCUCUGGCUUGUAACUGACGCUGAGGCUCGAAAGCGUGGGGAGCAAACAGG
rnacentral:rRNA from 1 species